UACGUAGGGGGCUAGCGUUGUCCGGAUUUAUUGGGCGUAAAGAGCGUGUAGGCGGCCAGGUAGGUCUGGUGUGAAAACUCGAGGCUUAACCUCGAGAUGUCAUCGGAAACCAUCUGGCUAGAGUCCGGAAGAGGAGAGUGGAAUUCCUGGUGUAGCGGUGAAAUGCGUAGAGAUCGGGAGGAACAUCAGUUGCGAAGGCGGCUCUCUGGACCAGCACUGACACUGAGGCACGAAAGCGUGGGGAGCAAACAGG
rnacentral:rRNA from 1 species